CCUGGUGGCUCAGAUGGUAAAGCGUCUGCCUACAAUGCGGGAGACCCGGGUUCAAUCCCUGGGUCAGGA
rfam:TPA: Bos taurus chromosome X, whole genome shotgun sequence.